AGUGAACGCUGGCGGUAGGCCUAACACAUGCAAGUCGAACGGCAGCACAGUAAGAGCUUGCCCUUACGGGUGGCGAGUGGCGGACGGGUGAGGAAUACAUCGGAAUCUACUUUUUCGUGGGGGAUAACGUAGGGAAACUUACGCUAAUACCGCAUACGACCUACGGGUGAAAGCAGGGGAUCUUCGGACCUUGCGCGAUUGAAUGAGCCGAUGUCGGAUUAGCUAGUUGGCGGGGUAAAGGCCCACCAAGGCGACGAUCCGUAGCUGGUCUGAGAGGAUGAUCAGCCACACUGGAACUGGGACACGGUCCAGACUCCUACGGGAGGCAGCAGUGGGGAAUAUUAGACAAUGGGCGCAAGCCUGAUCCAGCCAUACCGCGUGGGUGAAGAAGGCCUUCGGGUUGUAAAGCCCUUUUGUUGGGAAAGAAAAGCAGCAGGUUAAUACCCCGCUGUUCUGACGGUACCCAAAGAAUAAGCACCGGCUAACUUCGUG
rnacentral:rRNA from 1 species